rnacentral:rRNA from 1 species
UGAAGAAUCUUCCGCAAUGGACGAAAGUCUGACGGAGCAACACCGCGUGAAGGAUGAAGGCCCUCGGGUCGUAAACUUCUUUUCUGAGGGAAUAAGUUCUGAAGGUACCUCAGGAAUAAGGCGCUGCUAACUACGUGCCAGCAGCAGCGGUAAUACGUAGGCGCCAAGCGUUAUCCGGAAUUACUGGGCGUAAAGCGUCCGUAGGCGGCCAAAUUAGUCGGGUGUUAAAUUUCCAUGCCCAACAUGGAAAUCGUAUCUGAAACUGUUUGGCUACGAGUCUGAAAGAGGCCACUGGAAUUUCUAUUGGAGGAGUUAAAUCCGUAGAUAAUAGAAGGAACACCAAAAGCGAAGGCAGGUGGCUGGUUCAGUACUGACGCUCAGGGACGAAAGCGUGGGGAGCGAACA